UACGUAGGGUGCGAGCGUUGCCCGGAUUUAUUGGGCGUAAAGGGCGCGUAGGCGGUCACGCACGUCCGUUGUGAAAUCGCUCGGCUCAACUGGGCGGGGUCAGCGGAUACGGCGUGGCUGGGGCAAGCUAGGGGGCAAUGGAAUUCCCGGUGUAGUGGUGGAAUGCGUAGAUAUCGGGAGGAACACCAGUGGCGAAGGCGGUUGCCUGGAGCUUUGCUGACGCUGAUGCGCGAAAGCGUGGGGAGCGAUCCGG
rnacentral:rRNA from 1 species